AAAUAUCUUUCACAUACCACCAGAUUGACAACAGGUGGAAUACUUUCUUUGGUUACACCUCUUGAGAUUUUCAAAAUUUAUAAAUCAUACAGGAUGCCCAGGAAAUUAAGAUGAGAGAAUUUCCUCAGCGUGGUAAAAGUUCCAACAAGAAAGAUUCCUUAAUAUUCCUGCAAAAAAAUAAAUGAUUUAAAAAUAUAUAAACAUUUUCAAUUUCUUUGCAACACGAAAAUGCAGCAGCUGCAUAAUGCUCUGGUUAAAUCGGAGAGUGCAGGAAGAGUCUAUACCGGUUUCGGAGGUCUUUUUCCCCUUAUCAGUAGUCCCAUAUCCUCUUCUCUCUGAUUUCCCCAGGCAUCACACUUUGGGCCUUUCCGUAUUGCAAAGAAAGAAAUGUCACGGAUGAACUAGAGCCAUCUACCGAAAAACAAAGUAAGUUAUCAAUCGAAGUAGCACAGAAAACGACAAUAAAUAUCUGACCAUACCACCAGAUUGACAACAGGUGGAAUACUUUCUUUGGUUACACCUUCUGAGAAUUUCAAAAUUUAUAGAUCAUACAGGAUGCCGAGGAAAUUAAGAUGAGAGAAUUUUAAAUAAUUCACAACUCAUCUGCUCAUCUGCCGUUGUAGAAGCAUUAAGGAAUCUUUCUUGUUGGAACUUUUACCACGCUGUCUAUAAUAUAUAUAUUAGGUAUAUACCCAAACAGCACAGUACGUUUUAAGUACGUACAAUUUUGGUACUGUACGUACAUGAUGUAAAAUGUACGUUUUAAGUACGUACACUGGUGUACAUACCAGUACGUACAGAAGAGUACGUACUAAGUACGUACUAUUACGUCCAAGUAUGUACCAUGAGAAAGAAGAGCUAAGGCAUAUUUAUUAUGUCAGGUUAUGUUAACCUAACCUAAUUUAUUUGGUUAGGAAGGAACUUUCCUUCCACCUCGAGUACAGUUUUGAUGUGAUAAUUCAUUGCAAGACAGUUUCAUUUAGAUUUUUUUUACUUAUUUUUGGUGUUGGAGCUUAGUGUGGUUUCCUGUUAUCUUAUUGAGAAGCUGCAAUAAAAAGUGAAAAAUGUAGUGAUAAGAAGGUGGCGGAGCAAGAAAUUGGACGAUGGUUGAGGAGAGCCGGGGAUCGCUUAAAAACUUUCAAGGAAUAGGAAUCAGAAUAAAAAUUGAAUUUAUUUAUUUUUUAAAUAAUAAAGAUAUACUCACCUA